GUGCUUGCUUUGAUAGCCCAUAGACUAAACUUGGAAUGAUACAGAGAAGAUUAGCAUGGCUGCCGCGCAAGGAUGACGAGCAAACUUAUGAGGCGUUCCGUGUUUAA